rnacentral:lncRNA from 1 species
GAAGAUAAACCAGUUCAUGAAUCAGAAAAUUUACGUUUUUUCCCCUACGCUGACCACAAUGAUAAACCAGCCCAUGAAUCAGAAAAUUUACCAGCCCAUGAAUCAGAAAAUUUACGUUUUUUCCCCUACGCUGACCACAAGGAUAAACCAACCCAUGAAUCAGAAAAUUUACCAGCCCAUGAAUCAGAAAAUUUACCAGUCCAUGAAUCAGGACCGGAAAAUUCACGCAUUUUUCUCUAUCACAAGGAUAAACCAGCCCAUGAUUCAGAAAAUUUACCAGCCCAUGAAUCAGGACCGGAAAAUUCACGCAUUUUUCUCUAUCACAAGGAUAAACCAGCCCAUGAAUCAGAAAAUUUACCAGUCCAUGAAUCAAGACCGGAAAAUUCACGCAUUUUUCUCUAUCACAAGGAUAAACCAGCCCAUGAUUCAGAAAAUUUACCAGCCCAUGAAUCAGGACCGGAAAAUUCACGCAUUUUUCUCUAUCACAAGGAUAAACCAGCCCAUGAAUCAGAAAAUUUACCAGCCCAUGAAUCAGGACAGGAAAAUUCACGCAUUUUUCUCUAUCACAAGGAUAAACCAGCCCAU